CCUACGUGAUGCAGCAGUGAGGAAUAUUGGUCAAUGGGCGCGAGCCUGAACCAGCCAAGUAGCGUGAAGGAUGACUGCCCUACGGGUUGUAAACUUCUUUUAUAAAGGAAUCAAGUGAGGCACGUGUGCCUUUUUGUAUGUACUUUAUGAAUAAGGAUCGGCUAACUCCGUGCCAGCAGCCGCGGUAAUACGGAGGAUCCGAGCGUUAGCCGGAUUUAUUGGGUUUAAAGGGAGCGUAGAUUGGUUGUUAAGUCAGUUGUGAAAGUUUGCGGCUCAACCGUAAAAUUGCAAUUGAUACUGGCAGUCUUGAGUACAGUUGAGGUAGGCGGAAUUCGUGGUGUAGCGGUGAAAUGCUUAGAUAUCACGAAGAACUCCGAUUGCGAAGGCAGCUUACUAAACUGCCACUGACAUUGAUGCUCGAAAGUGUGGGUAUCAAACAGGAUUAGAUACCCCUGUAGUC
rnacentral:rRNA from 1 species